GAUGAACGCUAGCUACAGGCUUAACACAUGCAAGUCGAGGGGUAACGAGAGGGAAGCUUGCUUUCCUUGUCGACGACCGGCGCACGGGUGAGUAACGCGUAUCCAACCUGCCCCCAACUAGGGAAUAACCUUGCGAAAGUAAGACUAAUACCCUAUAAUUUCCUCAGAUGUCAUCUGACGAGGAAUAAAGAUUUAUCGGUUGUGGAUGGGGAUGCGUCUGAUUAGCUUGUUGGCGGGGUAACGGCCCACCAAGGCAACGAUCAGUAGGGGUUCUGAGAGGAAGGUACCCCACAUUGGAACUGGGACACGGUCCAAACUCCUACGGGAGGCAGCAGUGAGGAAUAUUGGUCAAUGGGCGGAAGCCUGAACCAGCCAAGUAGCGUGCAGGAUGACGGCCCUAUGGGUUGUAAACUGCUUUUAUACAGGAAUAAAGUUAGCCACGUGUGGUUAUUGUAGGUACUGUAUGAAUAAGGACCGGCUAAUUCCGUGCCAGCCGCCGCCGUAA
rnacentral:rRNA from 1 species